CGCUGCCGGAGUGGCAGGCGGUGGCGGCGGUCCGUGGAGGACAUCUCACCUCAGCCUCACUCUCGCUCUCUCCUCUCUUCAAAACAAUUCUGGUCUGGAUUUGCAAAGGGAUGACUCUCUUGAUGGUCUAAUGAACAUGUACCUCAAGCUCCGGCAGGAACUUGACAAAUAUUAUGUAGUGGAAGAGAAACAAAACGUAAUUUCGUCCUGCGCAUAGGAAGACAACGAUAUGGAGUGAUAUGGUUCCUGAAUUCCAUCACUUUCAGUGAGAACAUCAGCAUAACUUCCUUCCCAUUCUAUUCCAAUUUAGGAUAUUUCUGUAUGCAAUUGUAGCAGUGACUUAAUUCUUUGUCUUGGUUUGAUAUCUACUGGUGUUUUAUCGUACAUAUAGACUGUGUGUAGAGGGAGUUUACAUGCAUAAAUUUGUUGAAAUGAUAGAUACUGCAAACACCCAACAGCUCGUCCAACUUGUAGCAGUGAUGACAUGAUGACAGACAAUGCCAUACACUGUUGAAACUAUAAGUUCUUUGUAGUUCCGUGUGUAACAACAUGCUCUCAUGGAUCAUUAUAGUAGAGUUCACAAUGUAAAUAAAUUUACAGAUGGAAAGGAUGAACAGAUUGGUCCUUACUUUCUAAGGCCGCAUACAAAUUCCGUUAGCAUUAUAUAUAUUAGCAAACAUGCUAUUUUCAGCAACUUAUCUGUAUAUGCAAAUUCUGGUUGCAUAAAGAAAAUUCAUUAUUUCGAUAAAGAAAAUUCGCGAAUCAAGGAGUAUAUGGGAAUUUAAAUACCACUUCAGUCACUGAUUGUUUUCAUUGUGUAAUUGAGGUUAUGGCUUGCCCUUGUGGUACUUCAUUCAUGAAAUUUUGCGCAAGGUAUAGGGAGAACCUGGUGCGGGAGAAGUGGAUCCAGAUCGAGACGGCCUAGAUCAUCCGCGAACGUCUCUGCUGGUGCUACCACGUUGAGGGCAUCAGACAACCACCACCAGAAGCUGGGGCAAGGACCGCCGCCCUGCCGACCUGCAUGGUACUAUUCUCUUCCGAAUACUCUAGGCUAUACUAUAUAGUUUUAUCUAUCACUAUUUCUACCGACCGUGGACCAUCUGACCGGUCCAUGAGGCUAGCAUGAUGGCGUUCAUAUAUGGCAGUGGCCAUGUUCAUAGUACUCCAUGUUAUGGCAGCGUGUGGGAUGUAGCCAUUUGAGCAUGCUUACAUUGAACCUUGAUCCCUCUAGCUGGCGGAGUUCAUAUCCCGAUAGUGGUAACAAACAGAACAUGCCCAUGGUUUCACACUACAUUGGUUUCCAAUGGUAUGUCUCUGCUGAUCUCUUCAUAUCUCUGUUGAAAGUUUGAAUUCCUCAUCUCCUAUAAAACAGAGCCUCAGAAUUUAUGAGGGGUAUUCAUAAUCAUGGGAAUUUAUGAUUACGAUUUUAGUGCUAUUCAAAGUGUUCUAUAUGCCUGUGCAAAAUAAGUGUUGGUGACUAAAGAAAUUCUUUAUAGAUGCUAUACCAUACAUGCUUGCCAUGCUACGUCUACUUAUGAUAUGAGCAAAGGUGUUAGGUUGUAAUUACUAUACACUAAAGUAUUUUGUAAGAUAGCCACAUCGAGAAGAAGCAGACAAUAGGUAACCUCUAAAAAUUGUCGUCUCAUGAAAAUGGAAGACUGAACCGCUAAACUAUUGAUUCAUUUACAUAAGAUACGGUUUUGAGAACACAUAUUACUAUAUUAGAUUCAUCAGAAGAAGUGCAUCUACUGGCUACUUCUUGGAUGUUGUGGGUAAAAUGAAGUACUGCAGCUUAAUUUUCAGUUAUCUUCGGACAUGUUACCAUUUUGCUGACAUACUUCCAUAAUUCAGGCUAAUUAUAUUAUCUUUUCACCAGAAGACAAUUGGUUAUUAGGUGAGCACGAUGUACGUCAACACCUCCAAACGAGCAAACCAGAAGCGUCGCCAGCUCCUACACGAGGACCCAAGCCCAUCCUAGGUUAUAUUAUUCCAUUUGGUUCAGUGUCCAUUGUAGUCGGGCAGAUAAAUUAAAUUGACUUGGGUGUGGUCAGUUAUAUAAGGUGAACAGCUGAGCAGGUCAAUUGCAGGUGUGUACAGAUUCCUUACUGUAGAUGCCAAACUCCACUUUACUCUCAUUGGUAUGAAUAAUUCAAUGAUGUUUCAAAGUAAUUUGAUGUUCACCGAGUAGACAUAAUUGGUUAGCAUGGUUUCUUUCUCUUUCACAGACUUGGACUAAAUUAGUUCAAAUACAACUCAGGUUCUCCAAUCCUCUACAAUUAGUUGAGCACCAACAAAAUCGGAAAAGCCCACCCUUCAAACUAGCUACAGAUUCCAAUUAAGUUCUAACCACCCAAGUACUUCUAUAAUUUGUAUCAUGAUCACAAACAAAGCGUCAUUGACAUGGGACCUUCCCUUUAUUGUCAGGCUAUAACUUGAAUGUUAUUAGAAGCUUUGGUGUAUUGAAUCAUUUCAAUAUAGUUCAAUGUGACCUAUAGCAUAUCCUUAUGAAGAGCUACAACAUAUGUGUAAUCAAGGUUAUCAAUAUUGAAAGCAGUUGCUUCUUAACAAACAACAUAAGCCUGGGAUCAUUUUGGAACAUCACGCUCGAUUUGACAAAUCUGAACCAUGCCCCUGACCAGGUGGAACCUCCGGAAAUCGUGUGCACCCAGGAGGGGCGAAGAGGCUUGGGGGAGGACGCCUUGACGCUGGCAAAUAAUAGUCGGGCAUUCGUUUACUUUGGGAUCCUAGAGUUUUAUAUGACUGAAUCUGGGAUCGAGUUCUUUGAUUUGUUGGUGCAGAUCAAGGAGUGUAUUAGUGGGCUAUCACUGCAGCAGUAAGGAGAUGACGUAGCAAGAACACAUAGUAGUGCUUACAAGUGAGGGGAUUCCCAUUGGUUUGCAUGUUGCGGCAUUUUUUAGAUUUAUUUAGGGCAAAUUUCUGUUGUUUUAUGGCCUGUUUGGAGGUUUAUAUUGCUACUUUGUCAUGUAGACCCUUUUAUUCACGAUCCGAAUCGACAUGAAAAAUAGAAUUGAAGGUUUAUGAGGACGUGUCUAACCUACAAUCCCACAUGGUUUCUUUGCACCAUAUACAUUUUCCAACAGAACAAUAGAAAUUAUCUACGGAUCAGGGUGCAUAGGAAUAACUCAUACACGCAAUUCCUACAGAUGGAGAGUCAAAAGACUGACAUACUACUUUUGUCGAAUGCAUGCAGGAGCACUAUAGCUGCCCCAUUAUAUUAGAGGAGAAAGAAAUACACUACAAGAAUAUAGAACCUGAUCAUUGUUACAGUUUUUCUUCUAUUUGUUUCAAAUUAUAUUUAUUUUCUUGGGUGAACACAAUAUACUACUCAUUGUACUUCUGCAGAAUGCUUCUAUUUGAAGUUUGAUGCCCUCAUGGUGCUAUGAUUGCAAGAUAUUUGAACAAAAAGAGGUAGGGCAUCAUAUCAGGAAGACAAGCUGGAGUUGGAUGAGAAUUGAUGGAUGAGCUUGAAUUUCUUGAUGUUGCACUGUUUAUGUGGAGCUGGAGAACAUGACAUAUAAUCUCUCCAUGAUGAAUUUUUUCAGGGAGAGAACAAGUGUAUGUAAAAAGGGGUGCUCCGCAUGUUCAGUAGGAAGGCAGAGGACGGACCUGGGAAACCGGAGAGGGUGUAAGGAAGACAACGCGGUGAUUGGUGGCGGCGGCCGGACUAAGGCAUGGUGGUGGUGGUGCUUGAGGGUGGGUGGCUCCUCCGGAAGGAGAUGGCGCCUUCUGAUUAUACCAUAGAGGAUGGGGUAACCCGCCAGGUCUGGGACAUGUCAAUUUCUGGUGUAUCUGGUGGUUGAACAUCAGUGGCAUGGGACUCCACCUGGCCCCACCUUCUGUGUUAAAAUGAUGUCUCACAAGACUGAUCUAAUAUGCUUUGGAAGAUCUUAUGUUUUUGUAAAUGACCUGAUGGCAAGUUGCUUUGCCUAAUAUAAUGUAAGUUAUUUGUGUUGGUCUCCACAAAAUUGAGGGUUGCUUGGAGGGAUAUUUGUGCAAAAACUUA